CUAAAAUGUAAAAGAAUUUACAAAAAAGAAGGUUUUUUUUUUUUUUUUUUUAAAAAAGAUCACAAGUAGUGGAUAAUGCAGUUUAUUUCUGUGACAGUCUCUACAGCACUGACACCGUACGUCCCAUCAGUCCAACCAAGGUGUUUGAAUUUUCAUCCAUCCUCUGGAUGUUCUGGAGCAUAGCAGUGGUCAGGUCUUGGUCUCUGGAUGUUCUGGAGCAUGGCAGAGGUCAGGUCUUGGUCUCUGGAUGUUCUGGAGCAUGGCAGUGGUCAGGUCUUGGUCUCUGGAUGUUCUGGAGCAUGGCAGUGGUCAGGUCUUGGUCUCUGGAUGUUCUGGAGCAUGGCAGAGGUCAGGUCUUGGUCUCUGGAUGUUCUGGAGCAUGGCAGAGGUCAGGUCUUGGUCUCUGGAUGUUCUGGAGCAUGGCAGAGGUCAGGUCUUGGUGUCUCCUCAACUGUUCCUCUGACCUCUCCAGAUACUGCAGCAGAUCCACAGUAGCAUCCCGCUUCCUUUUUCCUGCAUAAAAGCACCCAAAAAGGUAUUAGUUGUUAGUAAUUACUUUCUAUAUUCAUAAACACAGUUAAAGUAAAUGUUCUGUUUUGUGAUUUUAGGAUGGGCUGAAAGUUAACAUAUUGAUCAUGUUGUUGUCCACACAGUCUAAA
ensembl:lncRNA